AGAGUUUGAUCCUGGCUCAGGAUGAACGCUGGCGGCGUGCCUAAUACAUGCAAGUCGAGCGAACAGACGAGGAGCUUGCUCCUUUGACGUUAGCGGCGGACGGGUGAGUAACACGUAGGUAACCUACCUAUAAGACUGGGAUAACUUCGGGAAACCGGAGCUAAUACCGGAUAAUAUUUCGAACCGCAUGGUUCGAUAGUGAAAGAUGGCUUUGCUAUCACUUAUAGAUGGACCUGCGCCGUAUUAGCUAGUUGGUAAGGUAACGGCUUACCAAGGCAACGAUACGUAGCCGACCUGAGAGGGUGAUCGGCCACACUGGAACUGAGACACGGUCCAGACUCCUACGGGAGGCAGCAGUAGGGAAUCUUCCGCAAUGGGCGAAAGCCUGACGGAGCAACGCCGCGUGAGUGAUGGAGGUCUUCGGAUUGUAAAACUCUGUUAUUAGGGAAGAACAAACGUGUAAGUAACUGUGCACGUCUUGACGGUACCUAAUCAGAAAGCCACGGCUAACUACGUGCCAGCAGCCGCGGUAAUACGUAGGUGGCAAGCGUUAUCCGGAAUUAUUGGGCGUAAAGCGCGCGUAGGCGGUUUUUUAAGUCUGAUGUGAAAGCCCACGGCUCAACCGUGGAGGGUCAUUGGAAACUGGAAAACUUGAGUGCAGAAGAGGAAAGUGGAAUUCCAUGUGUAGCGGUGAAAUGCGCAGAGAUAUGGAGGAACACCAGUGGCGAAGGCGACUUUCUGGUCUGUAACUGACGCUGAUGUGCGAAAGCGUGGGGAUCAAACAGGAUUAGAUACCCUGGUAGUCCACGCCGUAACGAUGAGUGCUAAGUGUAGGGGGUUUCCGCCCCUUAGUGCUGCAACUAACGCAUUAAGCACUCCGGCUGGGGGAGUACGACCGCAGGUGAAACUCAAAGGAAUGACG
rnacentral:rRNA from 1 species